GAUGAACGCUAGCGACAGGCCUAACACAUGCAAGUCGAGGGGCAGCACAUGAGUAGCAAUACGAUGGUGGCGACCGGCGCACGGGUGAGUAACACGUAUGCAACCUGCCUGUAAGAGGGGAAUAACCCGGAGAAAUUCGGACUAAUACCGCAUAAUACCACGAGACUGCAUGGUUUUGUGGUUAAACAUUUAUGGCUUACAGAUGGGCAUGCGUAUGAUUAGAUAGUUGGUAGGGUAACGGCCUACCAAGUCUACGAUCAUUAGGGGUUCUGAGAGGAAGGUCCCCCACACUGGUACUGAGACACGGACCAGACUCCUACGGGAGGCAGCAGUGAGGAAUAUUGGUCAAUGGGCGAGAGCCUGAACCAGCCAAGUCGCGUGAAGGAAGAAGGUUCUAUGGAUUGUAAACUUUCUUUUGCAGGGGAAUAAAGGACGGUACGUGUACUGUUUUGUAUGUACCUUGCGAAUAAGGAUCGGCUAACUCCGUGCCAGCAGCCGCGGU
rnacentral:rRNA from 1 species